UACGGGGGGGCAAGCGUUGUUCGGAAUUACUGGGCGUAAAGCGCGCGUAGGCGGCUACUUAAGUCGGAUGUGAAAGCCCUUGGCUCAACUGAGGAAGUGCACCCGAAACUGAGUGGCUAGAGUACGAAAGAGGGUCGCGGAAUUCCCGGUGUAGAGGUGAAAUUCGUAGAUAUUGGGAAGAACACCGGUGGCGAAGGCGGCUAUCUGGACCGACAUUGACGCUGAGGCGCGAAAGCGUGGGGAGCAAACAGG
rnacentral:rRNA from 1 species